UUGAUUUGAAUUAAGUUCUCCUGAGGCUAAACUUCAUAGACAGCUUUAUUUAAAAUUAAAAGAAAAAAAGAGCAAGAGCAUUCCUGUCAGAAAAGGUGGAGUAUGCAGAAGUGGUGCAAUCUCUCACACCGCAAGCUAAUAUGUCUCAAUCUUUUUCUGGAAUAAAACUCCAGCAGCCCUCCCACAAUAGUACUGAGUCGCACAUUGUCAACAAAGUUUGGUCCUGUCCUGGAAAGUAAUAUUCAGUGUCCUUGUAGAAACAUAACAUAAGAACAUAACAGCAGCCAUACGGGGUCAGACCAAAGGUCCAUCUAGCCCAGUAUCCUGUCUUCAGACAGUGG